rnacentral:misc_RNA from 1 species
AAGUCGUAACAAGGUUUCCGUAGGUGAACCUGCGGAAGGAUCAUUAACAAGUUAUCUGUUUUUUUGAUGAUUUUCAUCAAUAAAAACAAAAACCCCAUUUUGAUGAACCUUAGAUGUUUUAAGUGAUAUAAUAUAAGAGAUAAUACUCUUUAAUUGUAUUUACUUAAAAACAUUUAUAUCCUUUAUUUUUAUACCCAAAAUUAUUUUUUAAACCCCUUUUUUACAACAUGUCUUUGACUGAAAUGAAAAUUUUUAUCUUAUAAAAAAUGAUAAAACAACUCUUAGCAACGGAUAUCUUGGCUCUC